rnacentral:misc_RNA from 1 species
GGCGAAUAUGCCGUUUGACGAUUUUCUUGAAAACCAAUCAGCGUGCGUAUUUGGGGUCAUUCGUUUUGAGCCUUGUUGGAGUCUCACUCGACGCUCGCACUUGGGUCUAACACGUUCGAGUUUAACAACGGUUUCCUCGGUGCGUCAAUAUCUUCAAGAAUUCGUGGACAUGGCUGCAAGCGUUAGUGGAGAGGACAGAGUCGUUCUAUCAGGCGUAACGAUCAGUGGACAGUCCUGUGCGAAAUCUUCAGUUGCGAACAGUAUCUCCAAGCAUCGAUGAAGCGAGAUGGUUGUCCAAAAGUUAUAAAUCCUGGGAGUUCAGAGACUGAUCUAUAUUAUGAAAAGAAAAAAUAUGGGUUCAAUAGAAGAUAAUGACUGAUACCAACAAUUUUUGACGUGUACAAAAUGUUUUUAAUGUCGCAAAUAAACAACUAUGUUUAUAAAAUUGUAAUAAUUUAUAUUUUUUAUUUUAAAAAUUUAAU